rnacentral:rRNA from 1 species
GAUGAACGCUGGCGGCGUGCCUAACACAUGCAAGUCGAACGAAGCACUAUAACAGAUCCUUCGGGUGAAGAUACAGUGACUGAGUGGCGGACGGGUGAGUAACGCGUGGGUAACCUGCCCUGUACAGGGGGAUAACAGUUAGAAAUGACUGCUAAUACCGCAUAAGCGCACGAUGGUAGCAUUACCAGGUGUGAAAAACUCCGGUGGUACAGGAUGGGCCCGCGCCUGAUUAGCUUGUUGGCGGGGUAAGAGCCCACCAAGGCGACGAUCAGUAGCCGGUCUGAGAGGAUGAACGGCCACAUUGGAACUGAGACACGGUCCAA